rnacentral:rRNA from 1 species
CAAGUCGUGGGGCAGCGCAGUGUAGCAAUACAUGGGCGGCGACCGGCAAACGGGUGCGGAACACGUACACAACCUUCCUUCAAAUGGGGAAUAGCCCAGGGAAACUUGGAUUAAUACCCCGUAACAUUGCGAGAUGGCAUCAUUUUGCAAUUAUAGCUCAGGCGUUUGAAGAUGGGUGUGCGGCUGAUUAGGUAGUUGGCGGGGUAACGGCCCACCAAGCCUACGAUCAGUAACUGGUGUGAGAGCACGACCAGUCACACGGGCACUGAGACACGGGCCCGACUCCUACGGGAGGCAGCAGUAAGGAAUAUUGGUCAAUGGACGCAAGUCUGAACCAGCCAUGCCGCGUGGAGGAUGAAGGUCCUCUGGAUUGUAAACUUCUUUUCUCUGGGGCGAAAAAAGGGUAUUCUUACCCACUUGACAGUACCAGAGGAAUAAGCACCGGCUAACUCCGUGCCAGCAGCCGCGGUAAUACGGAGGGUGCAAGCGUUAUCCGGAUUCACUGGGUUUAAAGGGUGCGUAGGUGGGAAGGUAAGUCAGUGGUGAAAUCCCCGAGCUUAACUUGGGAACUGCCAUUGAUACUAUCUUUCUUGAAUACCUUGGAGGUGAGCGGAAUAUGUCAUGUAGCGGUGAAAUGCUUAGAUAUGACAUAGAACACCAAUUGCGAAGGCAGCUCACUACACGGUCAUUGACACUGAGGCACGAAAGCGUGGGGAUCAAACAGGAUUAGAUACCCUGGUAGUCCACGCCCUAAACGAUGGAUACUCGACAUACGCGAUACAAUGUGUGUGUCUGAGCGAAAGCAUUAAGUAUCCCACCUGGGAAGUACGACCGCAAGGUUGAAACUCA